GCUAGGCCUCACUGAUUACAGUACAGUACUGGACAAAGAACUUUAUAACUUUCUUCACUGGUUUCGGUAAAACUGGAUUACAGUUGAUGGUGGAAAUAUUUUCUGUUCCCUCUGAUGUCCUCCAGCUGCUCUGCCUCCACUUUUGGUGAUUAUAAAUCCACCGUGGGACACUGUCAUCAUUAUUCCACUGAGGUAGACUCAGAAGAAGAAGAACAGACAGACUGUCAUGUGGUGGGGUAGAAAGAUGGAAGGUUAUAUAAUGGGGGAUUAAUAUUCCACAAAGUAGUGAGCCACCACCAGGAGAAGGAGAUCAGCAAGAUCAAGAACGAGAUCUCUUCCGCCCACGGACAAAAACCCUGCUGCCUCUGUACUUCCUCUGUUCUCCCCCUUGCAAAUUUAAUUGGCAGCAGCAUGAUCGUGAGCUCCAUAUCUGCAUUCUCCAAACAUCAGCCUGUAUAUGAGGCAGUGUUGAGACCCCCCACCCCCACCCCCAACACCCUAGGCAGACAACACAUGCCGCUUUGAUGCUUUUUUAUCAACAAUACACACGCCAGUAACAAUGGGGAAACCAGAAGAUUAGUCUGCUCUAACUUUCAACACUGAUCCUGGGAUAAUUCAAUAGAUGUGAAGAUGAUCUAUUGUUUGUUGUCUACUCACGAUGACUAAGAGUAAUGUGUUUAAUAUGACAGUAAAAAGGAAGGAGGUCUUGCUUUACAGUUUAACAGCACAAAAGCAGCAGAAAAUCACCCGGUGCUGUAAGAAUAAACUAUUUUAUCCUUGACUCCUUUCA